UUCAAAUUUGAUUCACUACUUGAUAAAAAAGAUAUAUUCUGCUUGAUUCAAAGAUUCGAUGUUCACAAUACACUUCCCCGCCAUGUCAUCAAUUGUUCCUUCUUUAUCACUUGCUUAGCUACUAUGAUGCACAGAAUAUCAUGCUUGGCCUUCACUGACAGGUUCACGUUACGAUGGCAACGGGUCCAACUGAUGUCAACUCCCCAAUCACACCAAUUCUAUUCGACAGUUCGCGCAAAAGUGAGCCUGGCACAGUUUGACGCCAUCGAAGUAGCUCCUUUCCUGGAUGGUUCGGUUGAAGGGAAGUCCUUAAACGCACCCAAGUCAUCUCCCUGCCCCACGAGGAUGGCGUUGCACAAAGUAGAAAAUCCGGAGCGAAGGCAGCAAGGUAAACAAAUCUAAUGCUUAUGUGUGCGACGGUACCGCUGAAGCUAGAAAAAGGACGAUGGAAAACAGCAGAAAGAGAAGGAAUUAUUCAGGCAUGCCCUUCCACCAUACCCCGUCAGUUGGUAAGGCAGGACACACGACACUGAUCUGCACAUAAUCCGCGGACCUGCUGGGACCUUGUCGGAGCGAAUUGCGGAACAACGGAAAAGAGCUUUCUGGCCAGUUACGGAUCAUUUCAUGAGGACACGCGCGCGCUGCACAUAAGCGAUUAUUUAUUUUCCAAAUCUGAUUUACAAUUCUACGGGAGGACAAGGUGUUUGGAGUGGAGGAAAUGGAGUCGUUUGUAAUGGUUGUCAUUUAUGUGAACAUGGAGCUCUUCCUAUGUACUACCAAUGAAAUAUAAUGUGUUGCUGAACUCCUA